AACGAACGCUGGCGGCGCGUUUUAAGCAUGCAAGUCGAACGGUAGGGUGGUGCUUGCACCAUCUGAGAGUGGCGGACGGGUGAGUAACGCGUAGAUAAUCUGCCUGUUGGUUGGGGAUAGCUUGUGGAAACACAGGGUAAUACCGAAUAAGAUCUUUUUCCGUGAAGGGGAUAGAUGAAAGAGGCUUCGGCCUCGCCGAUGGAUGAGUCUGCGUCUGAUUAGCUUGUUGGUGGGGUAAAGGCUCACCAAGGCGACGAUCAGUAGCCGGCCUGAGAGGGUGACCGGCCACAUUGGGACUGAGACACGGCCCAGACUCCUACGGGAGGCAGCA
rnacentral:rRNA from 2 species